GGUAGUAGCAAAUAUUCAAAUGAGAACUUUGAAGACUGAAGUGGAGAAAGGUUCCGUGUGAACAGCAGUUGGACACGGGUGAGCCGACGAUCAAGCGUCCCGAGCGGCGAGAACUCGAAUGACAGUAGCUCGCCCAGCGCGUC
rnacentral:ncRNA from 1 species